AUGGCCUGGAYGAUGGUUCUACUGGUGUUCCUCUCUUAUGGUUCAGUGGUGGAUUGUCAGACGACUGUGAUCCAGGAGCCCUCACUCUCUGUGUCUCCAGGUGGRACGGUGACACUCACCUGUGGGCAUAGAUCUGGGUCAGUCUCUACAGGUCACUACCCAGGCUGGUACCAGCAGAAUCCAGGACUUGCUCCUCGCCCACUUAUCUAUAGCACAAACAACCGCCCCUCUGGAGUCCCUGAUGGAUUCUCUGGUUCCAUCCUUGGAAACAAAGCUGCCCACACCAUCACAGGGGCUCUGACUGAUGAKGCUGAUUAUUACUGCUCACUCUAUAUGGGUAGUGAUAUCCACAAAGUGACCUAA